GAUGAAGAACGUAGCGAAAUGCGAUAAGUAAUGUGAAUUGCAGAGUUCAGUGAAUCAUCGAAUCUUUGAACGCACAUUGCGCCCUGUGGUAUUCCGCAGGGCAUGCCUGUUCGAGCGUCAUUUCAACCCUCAAGCCUCGCUUGGUGUUGGGCCCUGCCCGCCGCGGCCGGCCCUAAAGAUAGUGGCGGCGCCGCCUGGCCCUCAGCGUAGUACAGCUCUCGCUCCAGGGUCCGGCGGCAGCCUGCCAGAACCCCCCAACUCUGUGGUUGACCUCGGAUCAGGUAGGGAUACCCGCUGAACUUAAGCAUAUCAAUAAGCGGAGGA
rnacentral:misc_RNA from 1 species